ACCAGUAGGAAGAAUGAAAAGGAAAAAGUCUCUGUUAGCGAUUAGUGUGGGCUUAAAGCUGGCCAGGAGACUGAAUCAAAAGCGGAGUCAGGGCUUCAAGAUGUGCCAAGGGUUGGGCCUUCCCUUGAUGACCGGCUGCCCUGACAACCACAGAAGAAGGCGGGGAAAGCACGUCCCAUGCGGACAUUAGUUCAGUCUCUGCAACAAUGCCUCCUGUCCCUGUACAUCACACCUGUUCGGUUCCUCCCCCACGCACAAAUCUGUUACGCACGCUGCGGCAUCACAAGAAACCAGAAAAACGAGAGGUUUCCUCUUAUCGACGGUCGGCCUUUUACAACGUAUUUCUGGACGACUGCUUGUCUGACUGUAAAUCCACAGCUGGCGUUCCCCAGACGUCUUUUACACCAGGCGCGCGGCACCCACAGCCGUGCCUUGUUUAGGAAGAAGCAAAUGGGCUUCUGGGAAUGCCGGGUAACACCCGCUGCUGUAUGAUGCUCCCGGAGGAGAACAUGAAGA